GUCCUCCCAACGGCCAGCGUCCCUGCACAGAGGGAAGGGGUCCUCCCCAUGGCCAGCGUCCCUGUGAAGAAUGGAAACAAUCCUCCACAACCACAACCUAUCAUCCCCAUGGUGGCACCAUUGUGGUAAUGGGAUGGUGUAGUGUAUAAUCCCGCUGCAGAUUUCUAUUCCAAGAGAAGACGUAAUUUAUACCUUGUCUAAUUAGUAAAGAUAUUGCCAUUGUGAGAGUAUGAGAAUUAGUUGUGAUAGAUCAAAUGCCUGCUACUCAUGUGAGUUUAUGGCUGUAAUACUUUCAUGCGUUGUCUACUUAAAACAGGUUUAGCUCUAGGAUUCCCUUUGACUGCCUUGUUACAGAAUGUCAGAGCGAAAUUGUCCUACCUCUCAACUGGUGAUUGUUCUGUAUGGUAACAUGAGCAGUGUGGCCUGACUUCCCCCUUAUUACAGAUGUCCGGUAUAGAUAUGUUGAGCAUCCUGCUAUGAUGUCUAUCACCAAGCUGGAACACUCAGAGGCCAACCCUCAGAGCCAGACUUGCAGUUGUCCGGUGUCUUAGCCUGAGAUGUCUGCUGGCUCAGCUGGGUCUUUGGGAUUGGAAAGGUUAAUGAGGAGGUUCAUCUACCUGAGGAUAGAGGCAUAUCUGUCUGGAAGCUGUUAUUAAUAUUAUUUAUAGAAACAAUUGAGUGGAAUAAUAUUUUUAUCUGCGGCUUGAUUUACAUUGUUAUUGUCUUCUUCCUUAGAUUGACCGGGAUCCAACUCUGCACAGAUGGGUCGACAAAACUGAGCCCAUGUCUGACGUAUACACUUAAAUUCAAUUCAAUUUAAAGCAGUGAAAGACUGUUGUAUUUCAACUGUGAGAAUGGUCCAAAUCAUUUAAAAACAAGCUUGCACCACCACCUCCACCGAUGAGGAUGUAUGGAUAUCAGGGGAACUCUGGUAGUCUCCCCAAAGGAAUGAAUCCUUACUAUAUGAAAGGUGAAUAAUGCUUUAUCUCCAAGACUGUACCAAAGCUGCAUAUCUGGACCCUGCUUGCACUUGCUAUAGCUUACAUUAUGGCAAUUAAGGUCAAAGUGAUUAAACUGCUAAGUACUUUUUGUGGGAUAGGAAAAAACCCAGGAUUAAUAUGAAGAAGAUGUGCUCACCAAGGGAUGUAGGAGGCUUGGCUUUACCAGAUGUUAAAUUGUCCAAUUUACCAUUUGAAAUGGCUAAAUUGGUGAAGCAAUGGGGCAAAAUGGGUGCUGGCUUGGAUUGGAUAACAAUAGAACGGGAACUAAGUUAUCCUUCCACCCCUGUUGAUACUCUGUUACAUAGUCUUUACAGGGGAGAGGUCUGUUGAUACUCUGUUACAUAGUCUAACAGGGGAGAGGUCUGUUGAUACUCUGUUACAUAGUCUUCCAGGGGAGAGGUCUGUUGAUACUCUGUUACAUAGUCUUACAGGGGAGAGGUCUGUUGAUACUCUGUUACAUAGUCUUUACAGGGGAGAGGUCUGUUGAUACUCUGGUACAUAGUCUUACAGGGGAG
rnacentral:lncRNA from 1 species